CGGCAGGCCCAGGGCGGCCCGGAAGGGGAAGGGCCCGGUUGGCAACAGCGGCAGCGGCUAACGGAGUGCUGAGGAAGCCGGGGAUGGCGGGGGCUCAUUACUUGACUCAGUGACCAACAUGUAAUUUUCUGCACCAGAAGACAAGAAGGAAACAGCAAUUGUUAACAAAUAAGCCAUGCCUGUUGCAGCUGAUGUAACUGUGGGGGACCUGCCUGUGAGACACACAGGUCUAACUCCAGCUGGAAUGGAAGGAUUACAAGAAUCAUGAACUGCACUGAAUAUAAAAGCUCAACAAGCUAGGUAACAAAUCAGUCAAGAAGAACUGGAGGACAGAUUUCUUCAUGUACAUGAUGAUCACAUCUUACUCAAGCAGCAUGCAAAUGAGCAAGAGGAGAAAGCUAAAAGCAUUCCUUGCCAAAACCCUUUUAACUAGAAGUUUGGAAUGAAUUUGCAGUAGAAGAACAUUGAAAAAACUCCAUGUAAACAAAAAACCUGCUUACAGGUAUCUUCAAAUUACUUAAUUACUCAUAGUACUUUCCAAAAAUAUCUUUGUAGCCGUCCCAGGCUGCAUUUGUGAAACAGGUAUUUGCAUGUUUGUGGUUUUCUUUGUGUGUUUAGUUGAUUUUUUAAUGAAAGAAGCUUAUUUGCUUGUCAGUUUUUAAUUCCUUUGGCAUUUUUUUGCUGCAUUGUUACUCUGUAUUUAAACCUAUUAGCUGUGUUACUUAAAUUAAUUAGAUGUAUGUAGUACUGCACAUUCAUAUUCUUCUCUGUUUGGGACUGUGUCUUGGACAUUGGUGUAUUUGUGGUUGAGAACAAUUAACUGAAAAGCCUUUUGUUUAUUUUGCCAGACAGAGGGCAGGUGACCUUGAGAAGUUUGGUACAUAUUUUGCAUAUUGAUGUAUGUAAAAUAUUUACAUAUUUUACAUAUUUGAUACAUGUUUUACUUGCUUGGUUUUCAGUUAUGAAUAUGGAUGGGUAAAAGUUUUUGAGCCAUUAAUCCAGUAAAUAAAAUAGUCAGGGCUCCUUAAGAGUAGUCAUGGUAUUGUAUCCAUGUCCUGCUCAUAUGGAAGCAAAGACAAGAUGCAAGGGAUGUGGUUUAAUUAGACCUCAAUUUUAUUAGCUUAGCCAUCUGGGAUUUACUGGCAUAAAUUUGUACAGUGGAGGUCAAGAUCCUUUCUUUAAUCAUUUCCUUCUGGUGUAAGUUGCUAUCAGUGCCCCAUUCCCACACAGCUGGUCCCCAGCCUGUUACUGGGACUCCACUCUACAUGCUUUUAAUCCAAAUGAUAAGAGGUCUGGAAGGGAGAUUGUCUCUUUGGUGUAGUUCAGACAUUAACCCCAAAGAUAAUCCUUAGCUUUUUUAAGAGUCACUUUCUCCUAACUUCGUUUUCCAUUUCAAACUUUUAAAGGCAGCAUGAAGAUGAGGUUUAAAGGAAGGAUAGAGUUCAUGUUCCUUAUUUCUGCAGUUGUGGUAGAAAGCAUAGAGCUAGAUUGGUUUGUCCAUUAAUUCAUGUUAUUGCCUCCAAAGGGAUAUUAGUUUUCUUUUUUUCUGACUUCUGUUCAGCUCUACUUCCAUGUGUCCAGGUUCUGUAGCAAUAAUUUAUUUUUUUUCUUUUGAGCACUAAAGAAAAUACGCUUGAAAAUACUACUUACCUCAGUACAAGUUUAGCCUUAUACAUUACUUUGAGGGAAGUAUUUGUUUUAGUGAAAAAUACUAGUUAAUUUCUAUUAAAUCUGCAUAACCCCUAUUUUUAAGUAAUAUCCGAAUACCUGGGCAGAUGUUUAGGGAGCAGAAAAUACCUGCCUCAGAAGGAGAAGCCUUCUCAGAAGGAAUAGCCAUUUUCUAUUCUACUAGUUUGUGACUUCAUUUCUAGAAAAAUGAUCCUUCGCAACAGCGUCUUCCUCAAUUAACUGUGCCUUACCCACGAAAUCUGAGAAGAUCUCAUUGUUCAACAGCAAGCUCUUUUUCAUAUACCUUGAUGCAAUGGACAUUUCUUAUGCAUAUUUUAUUUGAAUAAAUAAAGAAAUUGUGAUCAAUGUAAUGCACUAAUAAGGAAUUAAUUGCACAUGCUUUCUCUAGCUCUUACAAUUGCAAGAAUUGAAAUGAUCCAAAUUAAAAAAAAAAUUCACAUCUGAAUUUGAAUAAUUUGCUCCAUAAUAUUAAUAUCUAAAACCUGUUUUAAUCAAAUGCUGUUUCAUUCACUAUUGAAAAAAUAGUUAAUGUUGACUGUCAGAAGCUAUGGAGUUUACAUCUGUACAUCAUAAAUUUCACUAUCAUCUGCUCCUUUUUCUACUUAAAAAGAAAAAAAAAAAGCCCCCUGCUUAAAAAAGAAAGGAAAAAAAGGGGCCUUUGAAGGCAUCAGACCCUUUUGUUUGAUGUGUGGAACAAGAUUAAUAAAAACGUGCCACUACAUUAGCUUUUAAAUAGCUAGCAUGAGACAGUGCUGCUGUCUAUACUCACCACAACUUUAAUUUAUGUAGAUAACAUGUUUUGGACACAUGAUAGUUUUAGCUUUGAGUUAGGCCUGUUUCUUGGGGAAGAUCUCAGAUUUGUGACUGUGUUUAUCUUUUAUGCAAGGACAAUUAACUGGGUAAUGCCAAAACACAAUAGCAUUUGAUAUUUUGAAGAAUAAAAGGAAAAACCAUCUGUAUCCAGCUGGUUUACAGAUGUGUAAACUUUGUAAUCCAUUCUCUUGCUCCAGCAUGGCAUUGUGACUGUAUGUCUAAAAUUUAUAAAUAUUGGAAGAGAAAAUGCCUUUUUAAAUGUUAAGGAUUUUUUUGAUGUAUAAUAAUUUAUAUCAAUACAAAUCAUUAUCAAAUCUUGUAGUUGUAAUCUUAGAAUUGUAAGAAUAUCUACAUAAAUAUUAAAUUAUUUUCAUGCAGUUGACACACCUGUAACAUGUUUGAGUACAAGCCUUCAGUUGUUACAAGUUGCUAAAACCCUUUUAUUACCAGAAUUUAAUAUGUUUAAACUAUAAGAGAGAAUUUUUAAAAAUGGUAUUCUACUGGCACCAAAUAUUUCAGAUGGUGAAAAAGUGAAUGGAGAACAAAUAAUCUCUUUAAGUACGAGAUGCAAGUUUUUUCUGUCAUGUCCUGUUUUAUACAAUAAUCAAAGAUGUUGAUGUAUUGUUUAAAGCUGCUGUAUCUUCAUGUUUAUUCACCUACAUUCUGUAAUGUCAAUUAUAGAAGAAAUUAAUUUGUGCAUUAAACACUAAAUCUCCUACAUUUUUGUAAUCAGCUUUUGUAGAAAGCUGAUUUGCAAAACAAGUUCAACUUUUCAAAAGCUGAUGAUAUAGUUAUUUUUAAAUUUGAAGACUAAAUGUUUGGGACAGUGUGGAAAUUAUGAAGGUCUGUAAACAACUGGUUGAGAAAAGUAGUUCUGUUUCAGCAAUGGAAUGGAAAUUUCUCCAGUUUCAAGAGAUAGUUGGAAUUUGGUCAGUACAUUUCUCUACUCUCAUCACAUAAGCCACUGUAAAUGGAAAAAAAUGUGCACAGUUUUUGAUUUUGAAUUAAUACUGAGUACAUGAAAAUGAACCACAUAUUACACAUCUCUCAAGCUGCUCCAAAUGAGGAAGGAUUUUUAGUCUUAAAUUUAGGGCUUUUUUUUAGAGGAGUCUAGGAGGUCAUCCCAGGCAGAUUUUGAAGAAUUAACUGGGUUGUCUGGUCAUUGAAAGAGACUCCUGAUGAUUUAAAGAGAGAGGUUUGACUUAAAUAUACUGGUUUACCAAAAAAGGGGGUACCAAACCACCCUCAUUUUAUCAGUCCUUGAUGAAGUUAGGGAGGUUUGGCUGUUUUGUUCUCAGUGAUUCAGUUUUAACUUGUGUUCUUACGUUCAUGGAAAUUAUUUCAAAGGGCAACUGUAAUGAUUUUCUUUAUAAAAAGAACAGUUUUAUGAAAAUAUCACCAGAACAUGCAAUUGCAUGGUGGAUUCUCUGUAGGUUUUGAUUAUACAGCUCUUGCCUUCUUUUCCCAUAUGUGUUUGGAGAACUGCAUGUGCAUAUGGAGGUGAUGUGAUUGGCAGCUUGGAAAUGGGAGAGUUCCUGUAAGCAGGGGAAUCCUAACUGCAGCAGAGCUCUGUAAAGGGUCCUAGCCUUAUGAGCUGGAAGCACCAGAGCCUAAAAACCAACUAUGAUGCUUCGUUAGCAAAAGGUGAUGAACUGAAUGAACAGCAGUUAAAAUAGUUCCAUCCUCAAAACAAAUUGCAAUCAGCUAUUUCAAACAGAGGGACAGAGGAGGAAGGAAUAAACAAUCCAGAAAAAGAGAAUGAACUCUUGAACAAAAACUAUGAUAAGCUGUGUUAGUGUCUUCUGUAUGACCCAUGAGCAGCAAUGGAAAUCAAAGGAACAGCAAAUGAAACUGCAAAUUGCUAAACUAGAGAUGGCUAUCAAAUCUGAUUUAGCAGACAAAAAUGCAAUCCUUGACAAGAUCAAAGUAGAAAGAGUGCUCAGUGACACCCCAGAAGAUGAGCAGAACUUGAAUGUGAAGAUACUGAUUUUGCUGAAUCUGUUUGAAAAAGAUAUUCCAGAAGCAAAGAAAUACCAUUGAACAAGUCAUUGGUGUUUGUGAUUCACAAGAUGACAGUGCAGUAAUUGGAAAGCUCAAAGGAGCACUGGAAGCCCUCCACGCGCUGCCCUCAGUCGAGAGGGGAAUGCAAAGAUGACUGCGAGGCAUGAAAGGAAGUUUGCCACAGAAGAGCCUUCUCCCAGUGUAAAUACAUGCUUGAUAGUGCAUCAAAGAUGAGAUCUUUGUAAUUCCUACAGUAUAUUUAAUGUAUAAUUUAUAUGAAAAGGACGCUUGAUUUGCAGUUGUAAAGUUUUGUAUACUUUUCAGUCUGUUUGUUUUUAUAUUUCCCCCCUAAGGCUAAGAAUAUCUCCACAAUGGACAACGUCUUGUAAAUAAUUAAUACCUACAUGAUUGAAUGAUGUGCUUUAUUUGCAUUUUUAAGAUUUUUUCCUACAUAAAACAGUAAUAAAAAUGCAAGUCAAAAUUUUAAUUUUUAAUAAAAAAACCAUAAGCCUUAGAAAACUGAUUAAAAAUACUUUUAUGUUAUCCCUAAUCACCCCGUUAAAUGGAAUGCCUGUGAUUAGCCUCAUUAAGAAUUUUAUACUGUGAAGAUUUUAUUAAAAGCAAUAUAUGAAAAUUA